rnacentral:rRNA from 1 species
CAUUCUUACGGAGGCAGCAGUAGGGAAUCUUCCACAAUGGGCGAAAGCCUGAUGGAGCAACGCCACGUGGGUGAAGAAGGUCUUCGGAUCGUAAAACCCUGUUGUUAGAGAAGAAAGUGCGUGAGAGUAACUGUUCACGUUUCGACGGUAUCUAACCAGAAAGCCACGGCUAACUACGUGCCAGCAGCCGCGGUAAUACGUAGGUGGCAAGCGUUAUCCGGAUUUAUUGGGCGUAAAGGGAACGCAGGCGGUCUUUUAAGUCUGAUGUGAAAGCCUUUGGCUUAACCGGAGUAGUGCAUUGGAAA